rnacentral:tRNA from 1 species
AUUUAUAUAGUAUAAAAAGUAUACAUGACUUCCAAUCAUGAGGUUUAAAAAUUUUUAAUAUAAAUA